rnacentral:rRNA from 1 species
GACGAACGCUGGCGGCGUGCUUAACACAUGCAAGUCGAACGGUAAGGCUCCAGCUUGCUGGGGGUACACGAGUGGCGAACGGGUGAGUAACACGUGGGUGACCUGCCCUGCACUUCGGGAUAAGCCUGGGAAACUGGGUCUAAUACCGGAUAGGACCAUGGUGUGGAUGCUGUGGUGGAAAGUUUUUUUCGGUGUGGGAUGGGCCCGCGGCCUAUCAGCUUGUUGGUGGGGUAAUGGCCUACCAAGGCGGCGACGGGUAGCCGGCCUGAGAGGGUGGACGGCCACAUUGGGACUGAGACACGGCCCAG